AGAUAGACUGGGCGAACCUGACCGCCUUCGCGUGAGUGAAGAAGGCCUUCGGGUUGUAAAGCUCUUUCGCAAGGGAAGAAAACUUAGGCGCUAAUAUCGCUUGAGGUUGACGGUACCUUGAUAAGAAGCACCGGCUAACUACGUGCCAGCAGCCGCGGUAAUACGUAGGGUGCGAGCGUUAAUCGGAAUUACUGGGCGUAAAGCGUGCGCAGGCGGUUUUGUAAGUCAGAUGUGAAAUCCCCGAGCUCAACUUGGGAACUGCGUUUGAAACUAUAAGACUAGAAUAUGUCAGAGGGGGGUAGAAUUCCACGUGUAGCAGUGAAAUGCGUAGAGAUGUGGAGGAAUACCAAUGGCGAAGGCAGCCCCCUGGGAUAAUAUUGACGCUCAUGCACGAAAG
rnacentral:rRNA from 1 species